AUGCAUAUAAGAACAGAAUAUUAAAUCAGCAUCGACUUUAAAACGUGUCUCGGCUGAUUGAAUUAAGAAGGAAUUUAGUCACAGACGGGCAAAGUUUUCCGUGGCCCGUGGUUUUCCCAGCCAAGGCGUCUGGGAAUGCAGACACAUAAGGACACACCAUCGUAUAUCAAGUGUAAAUAUUCUCACCCAGGAUAACCACCUGUAUGCGUGUGCUGCGGUUGUAGCAUGUAAUAUACAUAUAGGAAUCAACCAGAUUGAAGGAAUAUAAAAGCGAACAAUGCCACGACCCAUCUAUAAAUAAAAUUCAGAGAAACUUAGUCCUUUUUUUCU
rnacentral:sRNA from 1 species